GAUGAACGCUAGCGACAGGCCUAACACAUGCAAGUCGAGGGGCAGCACAAUGGUAGCAAUACUAUGGUGGCGACCGGCGCACGGGUGAGUAACACGUAUGCAACCUACCUGUAAGCGGGGGAUAACCCGGAGAAAUUCGGACUAACACCGCAUAACACUUCAAAACUGCAUGGUUUUGAAGUUAAAUAUUUAUAGCUUACAGAUGGGCAUGCGUAUGAUUAGCUAGUUGGUGAGGUAACGGCUCACCAAGGCAACGAUCAUUAGGGGUUCUGAGAGGAAGGUCCCCCACACUGGUACUGAGACACGGACCAGACUCCUACGGGAGGCAGCAGUGAGGAAUAUUGGUCAAUGGGCGCGAGCCUGAACCAGCCAAGUCGCGUGAAGGAAGAAGGUUCUAUGGAUUGUAAACUUCUUUUGUAAGGGAAUAAAACACAUCACGUGUGGUGUCUUGUAUGUACUUUACGAAUAAGGAUCGGCUAACUCCGUGCCAGCAGCCGCGGUAAUACGGAGGAUCCGAGCGUUAUCCGGAUUUAUUGGGUUUAAAGGGUGCGUAGGCGGACCCUUAAGUCAGUGGUGAAAGUUCGCGGCUCAACCGUAAAAUUGCCAUUGAAACUGAGGGUCUUGAGUGUAAAUGAGGUAGGCGGAAUGUGUUGUGUAGCGGUGAAAUGCUUAGAUAUAACACAGAACACCAAUUGCGAAGGCAGCUUACUGGGAUACAACUGACGCUGA
rnacentral:rRNA from 1 species